ACACAUGCAAGUCGAGGGGAAACGACAUCGAAAGCUUGCUUUUGAUGGGCGUCGACCGGCGCACGGGUGAGUAACGCGUAUCCAACCUGCCCACCACUUGGGGAUAACCUUGCGAAAGUAAGACUAAUACCCAAUGACGUCUCUAGAAGACAUCUGAAGGAGAUUAAAGAUUUAUCGGUGAUGGAUGGGGAUGCGUCUGAUUAGCUUGUUGGCGGGGUAACGGCCCACCAAGGCGACGAUCAGUAGGGGUUCUGAGAGGAAGGUCCCCCACAUUGGAACUGAGACACGGUCCAAACUCCUACGGGAGGCAGCAGUGAGGAAUAUUGGUCAAUGGACGAGAGUCUGAACCAGCCAAGUAGCGUGCAGGAUGACGGCCCUAUGGGUUGUAAACUGCUUUUAUAAGGGAAUAAAGUGAGUCUCGUGAGACUUUUUGCAUGUACCUUAUGAAUAAGGACCGGCUAAUUCCGUGCCAGCAGCCGCGGUAAUACGGAAGGUCCGGGCGUUAUCCGGAUUUAUUGGGUUUAAAGGGAGCGUAGGCCGGAGAUUAAGCGUGUUGUGAAAUGUAGAUGCUCAACAUCUGCACUGCAGCGCGAACUGGUUUCCUUGAGUACGCACAAAGUGGGCGGAAUUCGUGGUGUAGCGGUGAAAUGCUUAGAUAUCACGAAGAACUCCGAUUGCGAAGGCAGCCCACUGGAGCGCAACUGACGCUGAA
rnacentral:rRNA from 1 species